rnacentral:rRNA from 1 species
CUUUGAUUAUGGCUCAGGAUGAACGCUGGCGGCGUGCCUAACACAUGCAAGUCGAACGGACUUACAUUGAAGCCUAGCGAUAUGUAAGUUAGUGGCGGACGGGUGAGUAACGCGUGGGUAACCUGCCUUGUACUGGGGGACAACAGUUGGAAACGACUGCUAAUACCGCAUAAGCGCACAGCUUCGCAUGAAGCAGUGUGAAAAACUCCGGUGGUACAAGAUGGACCCGCGUCUGAUUAGCUGGUUGGUGAGGUAACGGCCCACCAAGGCGACGAUCAGUAGCCGGCCUGAGAGGGUGAACGGCCACAUUGGGACUGAGACACGGCCCAAACUCCUACGGGAGGCAGCAGUGGGGAAUAUUGCACAAUGGGGGAAACCCUGAUGCAGCAACGCCGCGUGAGUGAAGAAGUAUUUCGGUAUGUAAAGCUCUAUCAGCAGGAAAGAAAAUGACGGUACCUGACUAAGAAGCCCCGGCUAACUACGUGCCAGCAGCCGCGGUAAUACGUAGGGGGCAAGCGUUAUCCGGAUUUACUGGGUGUAAAGGGAGCGUAGACGGUUUUGCAAGUCUGAAGUGAAAGCCCGGGGCUUAACCCCGGGACUGCUUUGGAAACUGUAGAACUAGAGUGCAGGAGAGGUAAGUGGAAUUCCUAGUGUAGCGGUGAAAUGCGUAGAUAUUAGGAGGAACACCAGUGGCGAAGGCGGCUUACUGGACUGUAACUGACGUUGAGGCUCGAAAGCGUGGGGAGCAAACAGGAUUAGAUACCCUGGUAGUCCACGCCGUAAACGAUGAUUACUAGGUGUUGGUGGGUAUGACCCAUCGGUGCCGCAGCAAACGCAAUAAGUAAUCCACCUGGGGAGUACGUUCGCAA